GAGGCACUACGGUGCUGAAGUAACAAAUGCCCUGCUUCCAGGAAAAGCCUCUAAGCAUCAGGUAACAUUGAAUCGUACCCCAAACCGACACAGGUGGUCAGGUAGAGAAUACCAAGGCGCUUGAGAGAACUCGGGUGAAGGAACUAGGCAAAAUGGUGCCGUAACUUCGGGAGAAGGCACGCUGAUAUGUAGGUGAAGCCCCUGCGGGUGGAGCUGAAAUCAGUCGAAGAUACCAGCUGGCUGCAACUGUUUAUUAAAAACACAGCACUGUGCAAACACGAAAGUGGACGUAUACGGUGUGACGCCUGCCCGGUGCCGGAAGGUUAAUUGAUGGGGUUAUCCGUAAGGAGAAGCUCUUGAUCGAAGCCCCGGUAAACGGCGGCCGUAACUAUAACGGUCCUAAGGUAGCGAAAUUCCUUGUCGGGUAAGUUCCGACCUGCACGAAUGGCGUAAUGAUGGCCAGGCUGUCUCCACCCGAGACUCAGUGAAAUUGAACUCGCUGUGAAGAUGCAGUGUACCCGCGGCAAGACGGAAAGACCCCGUGAACCUUUACUAUAGCUUGACACUGAACAUUGAGCCUUGAUGUGUAGGAUAGGUGGGAGGCUUUGAAGCGUGGACGCCAGUCUGCGUGGAGCCAACCUUGAAAUACCACCCUUUAAUGUUUGAUGUUCUAACGUUGGCCCCUGACCGGGGUUGCGGACAGUGUCUGGUGGGUAGUUUGACUGGGGCGGUCUCCUCCCAAAGAGUAACGGAGGAGCACGAAGGUUAGCUAAUCCUGGUCGGACAUCAGGAGGUUAGUGCAAUGGCAUAAGCUAGCUUGACUGCGAGCGUGACGGCGCGAGCAGGUGCGAAAGCAGGUCAUAGUGAUCCGGUGGUUCUGAAUGGAAGGGCCAUCGCUCAACGGAUAAAAGGUACUCCGGGGAUAACAGGCUGAUACCGCCCAAGAGUUCAUAUCGACGGCGGUGUUUGGCACCUCGAUGUCGGCUCAUCACAUCCUGGGGCUGAAGUAGGUCCCAAGGGUAUGGCUGUUCGCCAUUUAAAGUGGUACGCGAGCUGGGUUUAGAACGUCGUGAGACAGUUCGGUCCCUAUCUGCCGUGGGCGCUGGAGAAUUGAGGGGGGCUGCUCCUAGUACGAGAGGACCGGAGUGGACGCAUCACUGGUGUUCGGGUUGUCAUGCCAAUGGCAUUGCCCGGUAGCUAAAUGCGGAAGAGAUAAGUGCUGAAAGCAUCUAAGCACGAAACUUGCCCCGAGAUGAGUUCUCCCUGACUCCUUGAGAGUCCUGAAGGAACGUUAAAGACGAUGACGUUGAUAGGUCGGGUGUGUAAGCGUAGCGAUACGUUGAGCUAACCGAUACUAAUGAACCGUGAGGCUUAACCUU
rnacentral:rRNA from 1 species